rnacentral:rRNA from 1 species
GAUGAACGCUGGCGGCGUGCCUAAUACAUGCAAGUCGAGCGAACGGACGAGAAGCUUGCUUCUCUGAUGUUAGCGGCGGACGUGUGAGUAACACGUGGAUAACCUACCUAUAAGACUGGGCUAACUUCGGGAAACCGGAGCUAAUACCGGAUGAUAUUUUGAACCGCAUGGUUCAAAAGUGAAAGACGGUCUUGCUGUCACUUAUAGAUGGAUCCGCGCUGCAUUAGCUAGUUGGUAAGGUAACGGCUUACCAAGGCAACGAUGCAUAGCCGACCUGAGAGGGUGAUCGGCCACACUGGAACUGAGACACGGUCCAGACUCCUACGGGAGGCAGCAGUAGGGAAUCUUCCGCAAUGGGCGAAAGCCUGACGGAGCAACGCCGCGUGAGUGAUGAAGGUCUUCGGAUCGUAAAACUCUGUUAUUAGGGAAGAACAUAUGUGUAAGUAACUGCGCACAUCUUGACGGUACCUAAUCAGAAAGCCACGGCUAACUACGUG